UACGGGGGGAGCAAGCGUUGUUCGGAUUUACUGGGCGUAAAGGGCGCGUAGGCGGCGCGACAAGUCACUUGUGAAAUCUCCGGGCUUAACCCGGAGCGGCCAAGUGAUACUGUAGUGCUAGAGUGCGGAAGGGGCUACUGGAAUUCUCGGUGUAGCGGUGAAAUGCGUAGAUAUCGAGAGGAACACCUGCGGCGAAGGCGGGUAGCUGGGCCGACACUGACGCUGAGACGCGAAAGCGUGGGGAGCAAACAGG
rnacentral:rRNA from 1 species